rnacentral:lncRNA from 1 species
GUGAGGUGAUUGGCACCAAUCCAAUUGAUUAUUUUUAAUCCAAUCACUUAGUGAAUUAAAACUUACUUUUAAUUUACCUUCUUCUUUGACGACUACAUUUAAUCAUCUAGAAGAACUCACAAGCCAUGAGUGACAUCUAACCAUAUAUCAUGGCUACCCAAGCUAAUGAAGAAUUUGUUCGGAGAACCUAUUCAAUUGGAAUUACAAUGUAAUUCGAUCCUUCUCUAAAACAAUACUCUCAAUCACAUUACUAGGGUAUGGAUAUUUUAUGUCAAACCCCUAAUGUGAUUAUUCCUUCUUAUAUGAUUCAUUUGAGUCCUAUAGGAACGCUUUCCUUUAUUACGCUCGAUACUUCGGCUGAAGAUUCCCGAAUCAUAUCUUAGAGUAUUCAUCCUCUCUUAAUGAGGAUUAGAGAUCCCUUGUUGUGCAUUCACUUGCCUCCAUGACUAAGUGGCUUAACCCCGACUAUGCCGUGGACACUCGCGGAUGGAGUGACUUUGACAUAAUCAAAGAUCAAGUACCUAACCACAAGACAACUAUGAUGCCUCAGGUCAAAGGACUACUUACAUUAUUCCAACCAUUAGAGUUACUUGCUUGACAUGUGAGUAGACCUCCAUGCAAGUACUCUCAUUCAAUUGUGUUCAGUGAACUCAUUCCCUUAAUGAGCACCUACAUACCUGUCUUAGUGUCACUACACAAAUGGGACGAGACUUUCCAUCUUUCAAAUUGAAGGGGACAUAGUAUGUACUGGUCUUUGCAUUGUCAGUAUCCCUCUGACAAUCAUAUGACCAGGAACCUUUUUGGACAUGAUGCUUAUGUGAAGAAGGUCUCUGUAGUCUAACAUCAUUAGAUUACUUCUUCCAUCGAUCCAUUGUCCAUGGAUUCACUAUUUAGGACAUAUAUCGUUUAUUGAGAUAGUCCUAAUUAGUAUCUUUGCGUUUUGAUCUAUAAGAGUCAUCUAUACACCCAUUCAUUGUCCUAAAAGGUUUCUUCCAAAGAUUGACUUUCAGGGCAUAUUUCCAACAACAUCAUCAAUAAGCUAAUGGAUCUCAAUGAUUGUCAAUGGAUCCAAGACAAGUUAGUGGGAGCAAUAGGCAUUCAAAUCAAGAAAAUAUAAGUGUUAAGUUUUUGAAUGAAUGCUAAGUUACAACAAGGCUAGUGGGAGUGAUGUCAUAAUUUGAGCAACCAGAUAUGAAUAAAGUCUAUUUGAUAGACUUGAUAAAACAUAGAUGUUACUCAAAAAUGACAAAACGUGACACGGUCAAUUUUGAAGUAUAGACUUGAAAUUGGACUUAUUGAUAUAGCAAGGCUAUCUCAAGGUUGUUAUAUGGGAAAAUUAAAUCUCAAAUGUUGAAGGUUUGAGAAAGUAUUUUCCUAUAUGAUAGAAAAUCACUUUCGUGACCCUUAUAAUGAAUGUGUCGCAAAAUCACAAAAGGGACACAUGUAUGGACUUGUGAGAUGAUAUCCAAAGGUCAAAAACCAUUGGGGUUGUCACUUUAAGAUAUUACUAUAGCCCAGGAUCAGAACCGUAGCAACUGAAAGAGUAUUAUUGCCUUUAAGAAAGGAACAUCAGAGUCGGACUCUGGAAGCGUGCAUUCACUUAGGUUAUAAACCAAAGUGAAAAUAACCCAUUUUGACAAAUGGAACUUCAUAAUGAAUGAAGUACUAAUCAUAUGAAUGUAUUGUUAGUAUUGUACUACAAUGGUCUCAAGGUUGGAGCAAAGUAUGUAUAAAGUAUACAAACGAAAUAUAUGUCGAUAUAUAGUUUUAGAAACUGCUUCAACAGGUGUUUUGAAUAGAAGGGCUUCUUAUAGAAUCAAUGAUUGAAUCCAAACCAUAAGGUCAUUAGUAGGACACUACGACGUAAUGGGGCGAUAGCUCAAGCCAUGGAAUCAAGGUCUCAUCAAAGUAUUUGAACACAAGAAAGAGACAUCAUCAAAUGUUUUAGAAACGUUUGAUAAGUAAAUCACUUUUAUAAAUUAAAAGGAUUAAUACAUAACCAAGUUUACCUAUGAGCAUAAGUUCACUCGACUAGUAUGUAUAAGAUACACUAGUGAUUGACUUUAGUGCAAGUGGGAGAUUGUUGGAGAUAUGCCCUCAAAGUCAAUCUUUGGAAGAAACCUUUCAGGACAAUGAAUGAGUGUAUAGAUGACUCUUAUACAUCAAAAGGCAAAGAUACUAAUUAGGACUAUCUCAGUAAACGAUAUAUAUCCUAAAUAGUGAAUCCAUGGACAAUGGAUCGAUGGAAGAAGUAAUCUAAUGAUGUUAGACUACAGAGACCUUCUUCUCAUAACCAUCAUGUCCAAAAGGUUCCUAGUCAUAAGAAUUGUCAGAGGGAUACUGACAAUGCAUAGACCAGUACAUACUAUGUCCCCUUCAAUUGGAAGGAUAUAAAGUAUCAUCCCAUUUGUGUAGUGACACUAAGACAUGUAUGUAGGUGCUCAUUAAGGGAAUGAGUUCACUGAACACAAUAGAACGAGAGUACUUGCAUGGAGGUCUACUCACAUGUCAAGCAAGUAACUCUAAUGGUUGGAAUAAUGUAAGUAAUCAUUUGACCUGAGACAUCAUAGUUGUCUUGGGGAUACGUUGCUGAUCAUUUUGAUAAUGAGACUUGACCACACCUCAUCUUGGGUGUAUUCUAUGCAUUGUUGGGGUCAGUGGCUUAUUCUCAGAGGCAUAUGAAUGAUCAACAAGGGAUCUCUAAUCCUCGUCAUGAGAGGAUGAAUACUCUAAGAUAUGAUUCGGGAAUCUUUGGCCGAAGUAUCGAGCGUGAUAAAGGAAAGCGUUCCUAUACGACUCAAUUGAAUUAUAUAACAUGGAAUAAUCACAUUAGGGGUUUGACAUAAUAUAUCCAUACCCUAAUAAUGUGAUUGAGAG